UUGGAUGAUGAAAUGCACUGGGCGCUGAACAGUUUUUGUUGAUUGAAAUGUGUUUGCCUAGAAAGCAUUGUCUGACAU